GCACUGUUGAUUGAGUCAUGAUAAGUAUCCAUAGGUUAAAUUAAAGAUGCAAUAUGUAACUUUUUGGGUGACCAGAACAAAUUCACAUAGAAAUCUGAGUUAUAAAUGUCAUUCUCAUUGAAAGCAAGUCUAAGAAGCCUUAAAUCGGUUCCCGUUUUUAAGUUUCAUUUUUGCAUCUUUUACUUUCAGCUUCAAAAGUUGAAAAUACAAUAUUUGAGGUCAUUGAAAAAAUGUUACAGCUAUUUAAAUGGUACAAUGACUUUCUACACUAUACAUUUCUUAUUUUGUCACAAACUGAAAUUGGGAAAUUUCUGCAUAGUGCACAUUUACAUAUUUAUUUACCAUAACCACACAUGAUGAAUUGUAAAACUGUAAAUUAGGCCUAUUCAUAACAAGGACUGUUCUUAUGGUAUCAACGUGAUCAAAGCCUAUCAUUGAAUUGAAUGUGCAUUUAGCCAUUUUUUGUACUGCACAUUGUGUAUUGUACGGUAGUGAUAUGUCAAGUCAGCAUGGUUGACAAGUCAUGAACAAGAUGCAGCAAUGGCCUGAUGAUUUCCAAUUCAAAUAUCGAACACAGAAGAAUGCCACUCCUCAGUGCAUGCAAAUACGUGGUUUUGUGUGUGUGUCAUGGCCAGUGCCAUGGAGGAAUUUCAGGUGAUCGUCCAUACCUUACCAGCCCCCACCUCUGGAACAUACAGCAUCCUACGGCUCACUCUGAUUGGCUCAGAGGGUGGCGAAACCCCACCCAUCUCAGUGAACGCUGGGGCCAACCAGCACCACCUCCUACCUGGAUCAGCUUGUGUGGUCAGAGUGUGGUCAGAGGUGGCACUGGGUCGAGUAGUUCUGGUCCGGCUACGGUUGGAGGCUCGGACGGGUUUCCCGGACCUGGACUGGCACUGCAGGGGGGUGGAGGUCCGGAGGCUGUGUGACAGACAGGAGGAAGGGGCGGGGCUACAGCACCAAGGGGCAGAGCACUUCUCUUGUAGCAGGUGGCUCCGGUCUGUAGAUGGUGACGUGGAGCUACGGAAUGGAGACAUGUGUCUGUUGAACUCAGAGACUGUGCAAACCCUGAAGGACCACAGACUCAAAGAUCUGCAAACUAAACAGCAGCACAUCAGGUGGCGUACAUUUGCUGAGGGUGUCCCUCACUGUGUGGACAUGACCAGUCUGAAGGAACUGGGACCCAACCUCAGCUACACACGCCAAAGCCCAGGCAUCAAUCUGCAGUAUCUAAGGGGUUUUGCUGAGAGAGCUGAAUCCUGGAGUAGCUUUACUGAGCUGGAGACCAUGUUCAGCCACAAUGGGAGCCAGAAUACUGUCGCUAAGUAUGUGCAGGCCCAUUGGGCUGAGGACUGGUUCUUUGGCUACCAGUGUUUGAACGGCUGUAACCCUCUCAUGGUGCGACAGACACGCCUCCUCCCUCCCAACCUGUCAAUCAACUCUGACAUUCUCUGCCCCUUCCUGCCUGACGGAUCCUCACUGGAACAGGAGCUAGAGAGAGGGUCUAUUUUCCUGCUGGACUACGAGAUGUUGGAAGGUGUCCCGGCCAACGUGAUCAAUGGGAAGCAGCAGUUUCUCGCCGCCCCGCUAGUCCUUCUGCACCUCAACCAGGAGGGGGAGCUCAAACCCAUCGCCAUCCAACUGCAGCAGGCCCCUGGUCCUCAGAACCCAGUGUUCCUGCCCUCUGACCCUGACUGGCUGUUGGCUAAGACCUGGGUGCGCUGCUCAGACUUCCAGUGCCACCAGCUUUCCUCUCACUUCCUCAGAACCCACCUGCUGGGAGAGGUGUGUUGCACUGCCACCCUCAGGCAGCUGCCAGAAGUACACCCUCUACACCAGUUGUUGAUGCCUCACAUAAAAACCACACUACAGAUCAACAUCCAAGCCAGGGCCUCUCUACUGGCUGCCAACGGAGUGUUUGACAAGGCCAUAGGCUGUGGUCUGGAGGCGUUGCCUGUACUGUUGUCUCGAGCCACAGAGCGUCUGCGUUACCGCUCCCUGUGUGUCCCUGACGACCUGGCAGACAGAGGGAUACACACACUCAAACACUGCUACUAUGCACAUGACGCACUGCGAGUGUGGACCGCACUGCACAGAUUUGUGAGUGGCUGGGUGGAUGUGUAUUACCUUGGAGACCAGGAUGUGGAGCAGGACUCUGAGCUGCAGAGCUGGAUCACUGAGAUCUACACACAUGGCUUCCUACAGCUCCCUCACUCAGGUUGCCCACAGUCAUUCCAAACCAAACCAGAACUCUCUCAGUUUGUUACCAUGGUUAUAUACUGCUGCUCUGCGCUGCACGCUGCUGUCAACUUCUCUCAGGUGGAUUUUGACUUGUGGAUGCCCAACUGCCCAGGCUCCAUGACGCACCCCCCUCCCCAGACCAAAGGCAUGUUGACGGAAGACGAGAUUCUCUCCAUCCUCCCGGACGUCAACUCCACCUGCAACCUCCUCAUCACUCUGUUCCUACUGUCCCAGCCCGCUGCCGACUACGUGCCUCUGUGUCAGUAUCGUGAGCCUGUGUUCAGCAGUGGCGCUCCCCGCCGGCUGGUGGAAAGGUGCAGGCCGAGCUCAGGGCCAUUUCUGAUGAGAUCACAGACAGGAACAAGAAGUUGGAGCUUCCCUACGACUACAUGUCCCCCGACCGCAUCGAGAACAGUGUGGCCAUCUGAGCUGCUGUGAAUACACCCACACAGACACGCAUGCACACACGUUAUGUUCUAUCCUCAUAUAGACCUAAAAUUAAUUUCCAUUCAAAGUCCUAUUUUCCCUAACCCUCAACUUAAAAUAGCCUUUUAUCCUCGUGAUUUUAGGUCCCCACAAGGAUAGAAGUACCAACCAAUCCACACAUGCAUGCACACAUGGACAAGUAGACACAAAGACCCCAAGGUGCGCGUGCGCACACACACACACACACUUCCAGCCACAUGCACAAACAAACGACAGCUUAAGGUUAAAAAAAGUGUCAAAACCUGCUCUAUAAUGAUUUAACUCUAUUAACCACAAUGUUUAUUCAGUUUCUAUGAAUCACGCUUUGACGGUGUUAGUGCUGCAGGGGUUUAAUGGUUUUGAUGAAAAGCAGCUAAACACAGCGAUCAGGUAGUUCACGCUCCUCUCCUAAUAUAAACCAGAAAUCAACAGCAGAAAAUAAUACCGGCUACAUCUCAAUAGUAUAUAGUGGCCUCCUCUCCCAUUAUCCUGUCCUUUUCUCCUCCAUCCUUGCUGAGCGAGAGAUUGACUAGGAUUUAGCUUCCACCUGUCAUGUUUUAAAAUUAUUUCUUUAACAUGUCUCCUCUUCAUCUACACUGAAGUGAAUUUAACAAAUGACAUCAAAUAAAAGAUUAGUUUUCACCUGGA